rnacentral:rRNA from 1 species
GAGAUGGCGACCGGCGCACGGGUGCGUAACGCGUAUGUAACCUACCUUAAACAGGGGGAUAACACUGAGAAAUCGGUACUAAUACCCCAUAAUACUAUUGGAGGCAUCUCCGAUAGUUGAAAGUUCCGGCGGUUUAAGAUGGACAUGCGUUGUAUUAGUUAGUUGGUGAGGUAACGGCUCACCAAGGCGACGAUACAUAGGGGGACUGAGAGGUUAACCCCCCACAUUGGUACUGAGACACGGACCAAACUCCUACGGGAGGCAGCAGUGAGGAAUAUUGGUCAAUGGACGCAAGUCUGAACCAGCCAUGCCGCGUGCAGGAUGACGGCUCUAUGAGUUGUAAACUGCUUUUGUACGAGGGUAAUAUCGGAUACGUGUAUCUGCAUGAAAGUAUCGUACGAAUAAGGAUCGGCUAACUCCGUGCCAGCAGCCGCGGUAAUACGGAGGAUCCAAGCGUUAUCCGGAUUUAUUGGGUUUAAAGGGUGCGUAGGCGGUUUUAUAAGUUAGAGGUGAAAAUUCGGGGCUCAACUCCGGACGUGCCUCUAAUACUGUAUGACUAGAGAAUAGAUGCGGUAGGCGGAAUGUAUGGUGUAGCGGUGAAAUGCGUAGAGAUCAUACAGAACACCGAUUGCGAAGGCAGCUUACCAAACUAUGUCUGACGUUGAGGCACGAAAGCGUGGGGAGCAAACAGGAUUAGAUACCCUGGUAGUCCACGCAGUAAACGAUGAUAGCUCGUUGUCGGCGAUACAUUGUCGGUGACUAAGAGAAAUCGUUAAGCUAUCCACCUGGGGAGUACGUUCGCAAGAAUGAAACUCAAAGGAAUUGACGGGGGCCCGCACAAGCGGAGGAACAUGUGGUUUAAUUCGAUGAUACGCGAGGAACCU